AUUGAACGCUGGCGGCAGGCCUAACACAUGCAAGUCGAACGAGUGGCGGACGGGUGAGUAAUGUCUGGGAAACUGCCUGAUGGAGGGGGAUAACUACUGGAAACGGUAGCUAAUACCGCAUACCAUCGGAUGUGCCCAGAUGGGAUUAGCUAGUAGGUGGGGUAAAGGCUCACCGAGGCUACGAUCCCUAGCUGGUCUGAGAGGAUGACGCGAGAUACUUGAACUGAGACACGGUCCAGACUGUCACGGGAGGCAGCAGGGGGGAAUAUUGCACAAGGGGCGUAAGCCUGAUGCAGCGAGGCCGCGGGGAUGAAGAUGGCUUUCGGGUUGUAAAGUUCUUUCAGCGGGGAGGCGUUACCCGCAGAAGAAGCACCGGCUAACUCCGUUCCAGCAGCCGCGGUAAUAC
rnacentral:rRNA from 1 species